GUGUGCAUAGCUCAGCGGUUAGAGCAUCCCUCUGGAUUGAGGCAGUCAUGGGUUUGAAUCCCAUUGCACACA
rnacentral:tRNA from 1 species